rnacentral:rRNA from 1 species
GAUGAACGCUGGCGGCGUGCCUAAUACAUGCAAGUCGAGCGAACAGAUAGGGAGCUUGCUCCUCUGACGUUAGCGGCGGACGGGUGAGUAACACGUGGGUAACCUACCUAUAAGACUGGAAUAACUCCGGGAAACCGGGGCUAAUGCAGGAUAACAUGUUGAACCGCAUGGUUCUACAGUGAAAGGCGGCUUUGCUGUCACUUAUAGAUGGACCCGCGCCGUAUUAGCUAGUUGGUGAGGUAACGGCUCACCAAGGCAACGAUACGUAGCCGACCUGAGAGGGUGAUCGGCCACACUGGAACUGAGACACGGUCCAGACUCCUACGGGAGGCAGCAGUAGGGAAUCUUCCGCAAUGGGCGAAAGCCUGACGGAGCAACGCCGCGUGAGUGAUGAAGGUCUUCGGAUCGUAAAACUCUGUUAUUAGGGAAGAACAAAUGCGUAAGUAACUGUGCGCGUCUUGACGGUACCUAAUCAGAAAGCCACGGCUAACUACGUG